UACGUAGGGUGCAAGCGUUGUCCGGAAUUAUUGGGCGUAAAGAGCUCGUAGGCGGCCUGUCGCGUCGGAUGUGAAAGCCCGGGGCUUAACCCCGGGUCUGCAUUCGAUACGGGCAGACUAGAGUUCGGUAGGGGAGACUGGAAUUCCUGGUGUAGCGGUGAAAUGCGCAGAUAUCAGGAGGAACACCGGUGGCGAAGGCGGGUCUCUGGGCCGAAACUGACGCUGAGGAGCGAAAGCGUGGGGAGCAAACAGG
rnacentral:rRNA from 1 species